ACCGUGUUUCCUGAACAAUUCUCCUUCGACUUACAAUGCGCAACUGUGCACCUGUGCCCUUUCUGCCUGUCACAUCGCUCUGACAAGUCGCAGGACCCCUCGAGGGGUGGGCAGCGCUCUCAGAGCGAGGUCUGCGCGCCUUACUACCAUCAGGUUAACCGAGCAGCGAAUUCCAAGGAGCGCCCCCUCCCCGCGCGCGCGCGCUCCGCGUCCCUGGAACUGCAGCCUCAGUGCAGCGCCAACUUCUCCUGGCAGAAAGUAAGGGCGAGGGUGGUGGAGGUGGCGCGAAAAGGAGGCGGUGGUGCACGCGCAGCCCGCCUCGCGCCCCCGGCCCUGGGCGCGUCGGGAGAAGGAGACGCGCUGCUGGGGCUUGUUCGAUUCCGCUCUGGCCGGAGAGAGGUCUCCGAGAGGGCGCCGCGCGCGCCUGAGGGGAACCUUCCGACACUUUUGCGCUCUUCUGCCGCCUCCGCCCCGUCCUCGGGUAGGUUGGGAAGUUUGCAGGGCGGGGCUCGGCGCGCCGAGGAGGAAGAGAGAGCCGGGGAAUUCUGUCCCGCCCGGUGCCAUUCCACAGUGAGCCGCGGGCGCGCCAGCAAGGUUUUCUGAUAAUGCCUUAUCUGAUUGCCUGGUGAUUACCCACUUCCUGAGACAAUGGGAAAGUUCCCUCACCCCCUCCCUCCUUGCAGAGAAAACAUUUGGUCAGUUUGGGAGUCAAAAUGGUUUCAGGAAGGUCUUCCUCUGCUGCUCCAUGCACUGGUACAUUUAUGAACAUUUAUGAACAUUUAUGAUAUAUAUAUGACUUUAAAAUUCUUAUAACAAUCCAAGCACAUGUGAACAAGUGUUCUGCUAGGAAACAGUAGUACAGUUGUGCUGAU
rnacentral:lncRNA from 1 species